AGAGUUUGAUCCUGGCUCAGAACGAACGCUGGCGGCAGGCCUAACACAUGCAAGUCGAAGGAGAAGCUCCUUUCGGGGAGUGGACACUGGCGCACGGGUGAGUAACGCGUGGGAAUCUACCCCGGGGUGGGGAAUAACCGCUGGAAACGGCGGCUAAUACCGCAUACGCCUUAAUAGGGAAAGCUUUAGCGCCCUGGGAUGAGCCCGCGUUAGAUUAGGUUGUUGGUGGGGUAACGGCCUACCAAGCCUACGAUCUAUAGCUGGUCUGAGAGGAUGAUCAGCCACACUGGGACUGAGACACGGCCCAGACUCCUACGGGAGGCAGCAGUGGGGAAUUUUCCGCAAUGGGCGAAAGCCUGACGGAGCAACGCCGCGUGCGGGAGGACGGCCUGUGGGUUGUAAACCGCUUUUCUCAGGGAAGAAGAUCUGACGGUACCUGAGGAAUCAGCAUCGGCUAACUCCGUGCCAGCAGCCGCGGUAAUACGGAGGAUGCAAGCGUUAUCCGGAAUUAUUGGGCGUAAAGCGUCCGCAGGCGGCUUAUCAAGUCUGCUGUUAAAGGCUGGGGCUCAACUCCGGUUAGGCAGUGGAAACUGAAAGGCUAGAGUACGGUAGGGGCAGAGGGAAUUCCCAGUGUAGCGGUGAAAUGCGUAGAUAUUGGGAAGAACACCAGUGGCGAAGGCGCUCUGCUGGGCCGUAACUGACGCUGAGGGACGAAAGCUAGGGGAGCGAAAGGGAUUAGAUACCCCUGUAGUCCUAGCCGUAAACGAUGGAUACUAGGUGUUGGCCGUAUCGACCCGGUCAGUACCGUAGCUAACGCGUUAAGUAUCCCGCCUGGGGAGUACGCACGCAAGUGUGAAACUCAAAGGAAUUGACGGGGGCCCGCACAAGCGGUGGAGUAUGUGGUUUAAUUCGAUGCAACGCGAAGAACCUUACCAGGGCUUGACAUCCCGCGAAUCCUUGUGAAAGCAGGGAGUGCCUUCGGGAGCGCGGAGACAGGUGGUGCAUGGCUGUCGUCAGCUCGUGUCGUGAGAUGUUGGGUUAAGUCCCGUAACGAGCGCAACCCUUGUCCUUUGUUGCCAGCGAAUAAUGUCGGGAACUCAAAGGAGACUGCCGGUGACAAACCGGAGGAAGGUGGGGAUGACGUCAAGUCAUCAUGCCCCUUACGUCUUGGGCUACACACGUCCUACAAUGCUACAGACAGAGGGCAGCAAGCGCGCGAGUGCAAGCAAAUCCCAUAAACUGUGGCUCAGUUCAGAUUGCAGGCUGCAACUCGCCUGCAUGAAGGCGGAAUCGCUAGUAAUCGCAGGUCAGCAUACUGCGGUGAAUACGUUCCCGGGCCUUGUACACACCGCCCGUCACACCAUGGGAGUUGGCCACGCCCGAAGUCGUUACUCUAACCGUUCGCGGAGGAGGGCGCCGAAGGCAGGGCUGAUGACUGGGGUGAAGUCGUAACAAGGUAACCGUA
rnacentral:rRNA from 1 species